GUAUUGCCAUUUUGCCCGUGAAGAUGUUGACUUCCGGUUAUGCUUCAAAGAAGUGAAUAUUUGUAAAUAAAUAUCUACUUCAUUCUUUACCUUCCAACAGACAGUGGAUCAAAAUUCUUCAGACAAGAAUUCAUCUAAUUCAACAAUUAAAAUAAAACACAGCAGGGAUCCAGAGAACAAGAGAGGGUAAAGAUAAAGAAUAUAUGAGAAGUAAACAUGACACUAAGCAAAGACUUUGAGAAAUAGAAUCAAUCCAUUUUUAUCAUUUUUUAAAAUCAAUGAUGAAAAAUCUGAGCUCACACCAUGGUAUUUGCUAUAUUUAAAUACAAGUACUAAAUGG